AACCUCCUACGGGACGCAGCAGUGGGGAAUAUUGGGCAAUGGGCGCAAGCCUGACCCAGCAACGCCGCGUGAAGGAAGAAGGCUUUCGGGUUGUAAACUUCUUUUCUCAGGGACGAAGCAAGUGACGGUACCUGAGGAAUAAGCCACGGCUAACUACGUGCCAGCAGCCGCGGUAAUACGUAGGUGGCAAGCGUUAUCCGGAUUUACUGGGUGUAAAGGGCGUGUAGGCGGGAAAGCAAGUCAGAUGUGAUAACCAUGGG
rnacentral:rRNA from 1 species